AGAGUUUGAUCAUGGCUCAGUAACGUACGCUGGCGGCACGCCUAACACAUGCAAGUCGAACGAAGUAGCAAUACUUAGUGGCAGACGGGUGAGUAACAUGUAGGUAUCUACCCUUUGGCCUGGAAUAACACGAGGAAACUUGUGCUAAUACCGGAUAAGUCUUUACGGAGAAAGCUUUAUGCACCAUUGGAUGAGCCUGCACUUGAUUAGUUUGUUGGUGGGGUAAUGGCCUACCAAGACUGUGAUCAAUAGCUGAUUUGAGAGGAUGAUCAGCCACAUUGGGACUGAGACACGGCCCAAACUCCUACGGGAGGCAGCAGUGGGGAAUCUUGCACAAUGGAGGAAACUCUGAUGCAGCGAUGCCGCGUGAGUGAAGAAGGCCCUUGGGUUGUAAAGCUCUUUCGUCGGGGAAGAAAAUGACUGUACCCGAAUAAGAAGGUCCGGCUAACUUCGUGCCAGCAGCCGCGGUAAUACGAAGGGACCUAGCGUAGUUCGGAAUUACUGGGCUUAAAGAGUUCGUAGGUGGUUGAAAAAGUUAGUGGUGAAAUCCCAGAGCUUAACUCUGGAACUGCCAUUAAAACUUUUCAGCUAGAGUAUGAUAGAGGAAAGCAGAAUUUCUAGUGUAGAGGUGAAAUUCGUAGAUAUUAGAAAGAAUACCAAUUGCGAAGGCAGCUUUCUGGAUCAUUACUGACACUGAGGAACGAAAGCAUGGGUAGCGAAGAGGAUUAGAUACCCUCGUAGUCCAUGCCGUAAACGAUGUGUGUUAGACGUUGGAAAUUUAUUUUCAGUGUCGCAGCGAAAGCGAUAAACACACCGCCUGGGGAGUACGACCGCAAGGUUAAAACUCAAAUGAAUUGACGGGGACCCGCACAAGUAGUGGAGCAUGUGGUUUAAUUCGAAGAUACGCGCAGAACCUUACCAACACUUGACAUGUUCGUCGCGACUCUAAGAGAUUAGAGUUUUCGGUUCGGCCGGACGAAACACAGGUGCUGCAUGGCUGUCGUCAGCUCGUGUCGUGAGAUGUUGGGUUAAGUCCCGCAACGAGCGCAACCCUCACUUUUAGUUGCCAUCAUUUAGUUGGGCACUCUGAAAGAACUGCCAGUGAUAAGCUGGAGGAAGGUGGGGAUGACGUCAAGUCCUCAUGGCCCUUACGUGUUGGGCUACACACGUGCUACAAUGGUAUCUACAACAGGAAGCAAGACUGCGAGGUCAAGCAAAUCCUUAAAAGAUACCUCAGUUCGGAUUGCACUCUGCAACUCGAGUGCAUGAAGCUGGAAUUACUAGUAAUCGUGGAUCAGCGUGCCACGGUGAAUGCGUUCCCGGGUCUUGUACACACCGCCCGUCACACCAUGGGAGUUGGUUCUACCUUAAGGCAAGGUUUAAAACCCUUGACCACGGUAUAGUCAGCGACUGGGGUGAAGUCGUAACAAGGUAGCCGUAGGGGAACCUGCGGCUG
rnacentral:rRNA from 1 species